rnacentral:rRNA from 1 species
AAAGGAGCUUUGCUCUUUGAAGUUAGUGGCGACGGGUGAGUAACACGUGGGUAACCUGCCUCACAGCUGGGAUACAUCAGAAAUCGAUGCUAAUACCGAAUGUGCUGAACAUCAUAAGAUGUUCAAGUGAAAGACGGUUUCGGCUGUCACUGUGAGAUGGACCCGCGCUGGAUUAGCUAGUUGGUAAGGUAAUGGCUUACCAAGGCGACGAUCCAUAGCCGACUUGAGAGGGUGAUCGGCCACAUUGGGACUGAGACACGGCCCAAACUCCUACGGGAGACAGCAGUAGGGAAUCUUCGGCAAUGGACGAAAGUCUGACCGAGCAACGCCGCGUGAGCGAAGAAGGCCUUCGGGUCGUAAAGCUCUGUUGUUAGAGAAGAACAUGGGUGAGAGUAACUGUUCACCCCUUGACGGUAUCUAACCAGAAAGCCACGGCUAACUACGUG